UGCCAGCAGCCGCGGUAAUACAUAGGGGUCAAGCGUUGUCCGGAUUUAUUGGGCGUAAAGCGUUCGCAGGCGGUUUUAUAAGUCAGAUGUGAAAUCCCCGAGCUCAACUUGGGAACUGCGUUUGAAACUGUAAGACUAGAGUGUGUCAGAGGGGGGUAGAAUUCCAUGUGUAGCAGUGAAAUGCGUAGGUAUGUGGAGGAAUACCAAUGGCGAAGGCAGCCCCCCGGGAUAACACUGACGCUCAUGAACGAAAGCGUGGGGAGCAAACAGGAUUAGAUA
rnacentral:rRNA from 1 species